GACUGGUCCAAAAAUAGUGAGUUAUCUCAAUUAAUUGUUCACUGUCAGUUACAGAAUGAACUUAUCCUACUCUUGCCCCUCUCUCACUACUGCACGAGACUGGCAUUUA
ensembl:misc_RNA Y_RNA Y RNA